CAAGGACUUAGUUAUAAACUUAUUAACCUUAAAGGUUAUAAAUAAAAUAAUACUAUUUUAGGC
rnacentral:tRNA from 1 species